GUCAAAUUUAUCAACUUGCUUUGUUGUGAUAGAGAGGUGAACAUUCAAUGGAAAUAUAGACACUAGUUAAUGAUCAAGUCAUUGCUACAAAUGAAAAGUUUGGUGAGUCACCAAUGAACACCGCAGCGAACGUGUUAAAAACAUUGUUUGAUCAUGAAUAGAAUAUAAUAUAUGAGACCUAUUACAUGAGGCGUAUUCAGUAUUUGAAAGUAAUGAAAAAAUGUUCUUAUGAAUAACAUACAAGAACAAAAUAAAAUAAAAAUAUGUAUGAA